rnacentral:lncRNA from 1 species
GGUGGUGGGGUAGGGGCUUUUCACAUUUGUUUAAAAGUGUCAUUAAUAUCUUCAUUGGAAAGCCACAAUUUUGAGCAUGUUUGAAUUUGUGUGUGCAUAAUAGAAUUCUGAUAUAUUUUGUCAGAGAAUGGUAAAGUUUCUCGAUUUUGUGUAAGCCACACUGAUUAUGUGGCAAUGAGAUGUAUAGGUUGAAGCUGCCUCACAUAUUGACAAAGGUAUUUUGAUAUGAUAUUGGAUGUUUAUUAAUUUAGAUAUACUCACAUGUUCUCACACUGGAGCGUGGAGGCAACGGAUAGGAAGUGUAAGGCACCCUUUAAUUAUGAUGUUGAGCUUGGGCAACUUUUCUGGCAGCCAGAGGUCUGAUGACCGAUCUUAUUAGUGGAAUUGAAAACCAAAGUUUGUACACAAGCUUUUCCUCUAGUAGCACCUGUUCUUUGAAAUACCAGAUGCUUCAAGAUAUGAUGUUGCUGUUGUAAAUUUGCAAUGCAUAUUUAUCUUUUACUAAAUGCAGCAUACAACUCUUGUAUUUACUUUCCAGGAGUGCCUGUUUCCCUUUCUUUCUUACCAUGGCAAGUUUUUGUAAGAUUACUCUAUUUAGAAAUAAAAAGUGAGGCAAUAGAAGAGCAUCCUGACCCAUUCCUAGACUCUCUAAGAUCCUAUUUCAAACUUGCUCCCAUUUUGAGUUGAGAGAUAAAUAAAUGGGCACAUCCCAUUGCACUGAUAAGGAACUUUAUAGUGGCUCAGAGGAGAUUAUAAGGUCCUAUUGAUUAUACUGGGAAAAGCAUGUUAAAAAAAAAGCUUGAAUUGUGUGAUCUUUCCCACCACCCCUGAAUGGAAUUGUAGGGGGUGGGGCGAGAAUUUUGUAGUUCUUGGUGUAUUAAGAUGCUUAGGGAGCUCCAGUGUAUUCCUCCAUUUAGGCCGAACCUAAGAGCUUAGAUAGUCCUUCACACACUGAAGGAUGAUGCAUGGAUUCUCCAGAGAGGACCAUGAUGAUCUCCCAGACCACCCAGAUGGUGAUGCUGAUUAUGUGGUAAUGUGGUAGAAACUAAAGUUACAUAAUUUGAUAUUGAAUAAUUAACUUAAUAUAUCAUGCACCCAGGUGUCUUCAUAGCUUACAUAAGACAUACACGUAAACAUAUUAUGUAUGUGCAUAUUUGUCUGGUCAUUUGAAAUUAUGGAAUUACUUAUGAAAUGAGUUAGGCAGGUCUGAAUCUGAUCCCUGCAAUUCAUCAUUGAUAACGAUUUUUAAGAUACCUACAUCUAGAUUAUUGGAAUUCAACGUCUACAUUGCACCUAUGAGUUCUUAAUCUGUCAAACUCAAGUAUAAAUCAGUCCCACAAUCCAUUGGCUUUUAAGGGUUUCUGAAGUCCGAUUCUUCUAUCCUGUUUCAGCAAUCUGAAAUUGUUUUCUUAGGAAGGCUUUGGCCUUCAGCUCUAGACUGUCAAAAACUUGACUAGUAUUUAAAACCAUUGAACAAACAAGCAUUAAAGUUAAUUAAUGAUGAUGGAAUCAGAUGUCUCUUUGCUGUUAAUAUUUAGCAUAUUUUAGCUGCAAGAGGGUUCCUAAUUAUCUUAUGUGUGUAAAUAAAAGAAUACCCUUAGAACUCUGACAUCAGAAAGUUGUCGGUGAUCGCAGAUUUGAUCCCGAAUGACCUAAUCAACCCUCCUGUCAUUCACAAUUAUUUAGCAAUCCAGGAGCUGUAGACAAAUCUAAAUACUGUUAUAAUUCAAUCCAAAAACAGAUACAUUAUUCAAGUGAAUGAUCACCACUACUGUACCAGGACACUAAGACAGAACACAGAAAAUGUGGGAGAUUUAUAUGGAAGUCAAGAAAGAGAUGGCCAUGACCAAGAGCAUGGUGGUUACAGCACCAACGGUGAGAGAUGUGGCAGAUGAGAUGCUGAUGGUGACCUUCUGGCCAAGUGAGCAGUGUCGACCGAUGGUGCAGAUGAAGUACUGAGGCUCUGUAGAAUUCAGAGUAUAAUUUACUGGGCUUGUUGCUUGGAUAUCAUUGUCUAAUACAUUGGCUGUGGUGCAGUUAUCAUAAACGUCCUUGGAUACCCUGGCCACGGUGUGUGUUCCAGUCCAAUUGAACACUAGAGAAAAUGAAAAAAAAGAAGGGAAAAAAAAUAUGCAGAUUAGGUGAGCAAGUAUGGAUGAAGGAAUGAUUUAAACUCUCUAAUCACAGAGACUCUAGACAAGUAGAAGAAAGCAUAAUAUUCCAAUUCAAUCCAUCUUCUACUGGUUUUAUUUGAUCUAUUGUAUGCUUAUCAUGAUGGAAGAGAUGUAAAGUUCUAGCUGAUUUCUACUGAGCAAGAAGGGAGGGACAACUGACCAAAACCAACAGAAUUCAAAGAGGACCCACAGAUAUCCAGUGCUUACCAAUGGUGUCGCCAAGCUUGAAAUCCUCUCCACUAGCCCAGGUCGUGUAUGCAGACUCGCCUUCAGUAGGAAUAGACCAUGAUAUAUUGCCUCCAACAUGGUGUGUAUCAGCUGCUGCUGCACCCUGGAGAAGAACCGCAACAACGAUCAAGCACCCGAUGAUUUCAACGCGAGCCGCCAUGUCCCUCUGUGUGUUCCGCAGGUCGCUCCUGAUUUCCUGUGAGUGUAGUGUGUGAUGGGAUAAGGGAAAAAUGCAGUCCACAUACACUUAUAUGCAAAGUCGUAGAGAUGUUCAAAUUAAUCAAGCGUCUGACUCUGACUCCAGCUUUUGGCGUAUUCAGUGAGUACUUUUGGUUUUUCCCUUGUUACAAGGACGCGCUAUUAUGAAUAUGAUAUGCAAUACCUCCUGAGUAAACAGGUAACUGAAGUGGAACGGUGGAAAACUUUCUUCUAAACAAUACUAUUUUUCUUCUUUCAUGGUGUUUACGCUGAUAUAGAAAAGGGUUGAAUUGAAUGGGCUUCUUCUAGAUGCGAGAUGCUGUCUUUCAAAUGAAGGGUCUGGUCUUAUACUGCUGGUAUUUUUUUUAUUCCUAAUGCGGACUUGGUGGUCUGAAUGAUAUUAAAGUAUGUGGGAUGCAAAUAUUAUAUUUCUCUCUUGUCGUCGCAUCGAGAUGGCUGUUUAUAUAAUAAUCUUGCCAGGGAAACGACUAGUCCAGCGCUAUUAGGAAGACGGAGAAAAAAAGUUUGACAAUUCGUUUUUGAUGAUUAAUGGAGUAAGGUUUUAAAUUAAGGAGAGAGUAUAUGGAAAUUAAGAAAUAUCGACCAUUAAGACGAUGGAUAUGUACAUUUGAGUUAUUUGUUUGGAGGAAGAUGUGGUAGAAGCUAAAUUUGUUAUGUUAAGUGGUCUUCUUCAUCUCAAUCUACUCAAAAAAUGAAUUUACGACAUUUAAUUGAGUCUCUUCAAAAUGAAUUUCCCAUAUUUAGGUGAGUUUCUUCACAAGGGACCUUUAAAUGUAACCAUAUAUUAAAAUAUUGUGUAUUGAUGGGGCUUCUUCAUCUCAAUAAGUCAAAAAGUCUCUUCAAAAUGAAUUUCCCAUAUUUAGGUGAGUUUCUUCAUAUGGGACCUUUUAAGUGUUACCACUUGCCAGAGAUUAAAAUAUCGUGUAUUGAUGGGCUUCGAAAUAUAUUUUCUAUUGCGGUUGAAGGGAUUAAAUAUAUAAAUGGUCAAUGCAGUCAAUAAAUUUUCUACUGCACUACCUGGGCAAGUUUGUACCUUGUUAUAUAUUAUGCAUCAAAUAUAUAUAUAUUAAACGUUGUUGUAUAAAUAAAAUAUUAAAAUAAUAUUUUAAAGGACAAAUUAAUUAUAAUUAUUUUAUAAUUCAAUGAAGACAUUUCAUUUAAUUUUUUUAGCAAAAAUGUAAAAAUUAUUAUGGUAAUUUUCUUCAUAGUGUUUUUAAUAUCAUUAAUAUAUUAAUUAAAUAUUAAAAAUUUAUACAUUUAUCAUCAUUUAUUUUAUAUCAUUUAAUACAAUUGAAUUAAUUAUAUCAUAAUUUUAAUAUUAAAUAUAGUUUAGAAUUAGACAUAUUAUAAUCAAAUAUCACAAUAUUAUUAUAAAAUAUUUAAUAAUAGUUUAUGUAAUUUAAUAAUCAAUGUACACUUAUCAAAUUUAUAUUUUUUAUCAACACAUGCAAUAUUAUUAUCAAAUAUGAUAUAUAUAUUUACAUUUUUAUAAAUUUUAAUCAAUUUAGGCUCACUGAUAUUUUAUGUCAAAAUAUCUAUCGAUAUAUCUCCAAUAUAUCCGUAAAAUUGAAGGAUCGAUAUAUCAGUAAUUACCGAUAUUUUUAUCCUUGAGUAUAACUAUUAAACUAAAAUUCUUAAAACUAUCCCCCAUGUAGUGGGACAAGCCAAGCUCACCAUCAAGGUGCAUAAAGCUUAAUUAAUCUCCUUGAACCCUAUUUUCAACUCAAAUAUAUAUAAAACAUUUGAACAUUGUAUAAAUAAGCAUUUAAAAAAAGAAUAUAAACAAUAUCUAACGUCAUGAUACCAAGCUCAAACAAUUUAUUUCAUAAAUGAAGGUGAAAUCAAUUAUUUGCUCAUCUCAAGGAAAGUGACUUCUCAUUUCCCACCAUGACAUAUUGGGGAUAACCCUUAUUCUCAACCAAAGUACUAAGUGGAUGCUUCCACCUAUGAAAGCAUAAGUCACUAGCAAGUAUCUAUGAAAGCAUAGGUGUAUUUUAUUAAAGAAGUGUAUGCCAAGACUUUAAGAAGAAGGUAAAACAACAUAUAUAUAUCCCCUUAAGGGCUCUAACUAGAGGAAACCACUAGUAUCAUAACACUAAAAAUUAUAUUUACAAAUGUAACUUCAUGCACUAUAAUGGACACAUACUCCAUGUUGGGACCUUAAUUUGUCUUCUCUCUUUUGCUCACCAUGAGUACCUACCUUUAUAGCUUGUCCUUGGUCAACAACAAAAUAUUUAUCAUUUAUUAAUUUUUUUUGUUAUGUUUGUCCUCAUUGCUCAUCCUCCCAAGGACUAAGAUGGGGCUUCAAAGGCGUCUUGGGAUUUAUGUUGGUUUUUAUUCUCCAUUUAUCAUUCAACAUAUGGAACCCUGCAUGAGUAAUGUUUUGAUGACACAUUUUGAUGAUGUCCAUUUUGAUGAGAUAAUCUUCCCAUUGUUAGGGAAAGGAAAACAUAUUCUAGAAGAAUGGGGUGAUAUUAUUUGCAACGCAUGGAAUUUAUCUCAUCUUGAUCUUAGUAGAUUAUUCAGUUGUAAAGACUUGCAAAUCAAUUACUAGAUGUCUUCAAUGAUGCAAAGAAAGUGACAAAGUUAUAUAUAUUAAUUGCAAAUACUCUAGUUGAUGCGACUCAUGGUAGCUUAGCUUUAAAGGCGUAUCAACAAAAUUUAUACCUUAAAUACUAUUACUAAAGUAGCCAAGCUACUAUAGCAUAGUGGUUCUAGGAUCGUUCACUGGGAAGGGUUUUCGCAAACACAAGUGAUAUUCAAAUUAGGAAAAUAGGUGAUUUUCUUAUAGAUGUUAGCUUUAAAAGAAAAUGCAAAUGUUUUUAGAAAGAUUUAAACUAAUCUAAGCUAACAUUAAAGACUAAAAUGAAAGGGUGUAAAAGCAAGUUUCUCAAAGAUAGGAUAUCUAUGCUCUGGCUCUUAUGCAAAUUGGAAAUCUCAGGAUAGGCUCCUCGCGUUGGGGUUGCAACUAUGGUGAUGCUUGCUUCCCGAACCGGUAUGGAUUUAGCAAAUCAAGUUUUAAUCCUUUAAAAUGGCAAAACAGAUGGUAGUGAAUUUCAUCAAUGGUUAUUCACCUUAGACUUCCUUUGAAUGGCUCGUAAGAGAUAACUAAUGGUCUAAAGCCAAAAGCUUACCAAAUAUUGGCAACUCAAAGUCAUUCCAGGUGAUAAACUCACCUUUCAAUGGCCAUUGAAAUUGGUUAUAAUGGAUUAAUGCAAAACUUGGAAUUGAAAACCUCACCUUCCAAUAGCUCGUAGGAGAUAACUAAUGGAUAGAAAUCCAAAAGCUUAUCAAGUAUUGGCCGUUGGAAGUUGUCCAAAGGAAAUAAAAACCAAACUUUGCAUUAAUGAACCAUUAAUGAAAAACGACUACCUUACCUUCCAGGUGCGAGAAAUUUCCAUGGGAUUGCAUCCAAGCCAUCACAUAACAUCCAUACUUUGAGAAACUAAAAGUUUUAGCCAAUCAUCCUCUGAGGAAAAGCCCUUAGAGGCUGUUUGGCUACUAAGAAAAUAGAAAUGGAGAAGAACAGGAGAAAAGAGAAAAACAAAGCUUUAUAUAUCUCUAAGUUAAUGUACAGAGGAUCGAUCCCCCAAUCAUCCCAUCUCAUCCCAUCUCCUUUGGAGGUGUUGUGCACCUCUAAAUAUAGCAAAAUUACAAGAUAAAGCCUUAUGUCGGCUGAAUACAAGGUUACAAAAGGAAUUUACAUGAGAAAAUAACAAACUACAAAUAUCUGGGAAGUCGGUGGUGCGUGCGUGGAGAAACAGAGGAUUCAAAGGAAUUUCGCAAUGUGAAAUUCACAUUGCGAAAUGGCAAAAUUUCGCACCAUGAAGAAAAUCUCAUUGCGAAAAUUUGGCAUGAUGCAGUUGCCUUCCGAAGGCCAUAUCUUCCUCAUUUCAGCUCCAAAUCAUACACGGUUUGAAGCGUUGGAUUCUUGACUUCCUAAGAUUUCAAAUGGUAUAUAGUAUGUAGAAAAUGGACUUCGGGAAGUGCUCCAAAAGUGCGAAGGAAGACUGCAGCUGCUGUCCUCAGUUUUCUUCACUUUGCUUGUUUUUCCUCUUUGCUUCUCUCCUUUACUUGGCUUGUCUUAAUGAUCCAAAAUCCUUGCUUAACUCGCCCAAAUAGCUCCUCCAUCAAUUGGCAUGCUUGAAUUGGUUCAUAAGCUGAUAAAAACAUGUAAACUUGCCACAAAAAUGGUUAAAACCAAUUACUAAGGACCUUAAUGAAUUAAUUGGGUUAAAUGAAUAUGAUUACUACUCAAAGGUGCUUAAAACCAUUAUAAUUAGGUCUACAAAAUAGCCCUUUUUGGUAGUAAUCACUAGUGCUAAUUGAUAUCUUUGUAGGACAAUUAACUAAUGAAUCUAAGGCAAAUUUGAAGCAUAAUCGACCUAUUAGCUUAUAAGAUAUAGUUCCUUGGAAAAGGAAUACAAAAGGAAAAAUACAUAAAAAAAGUUGACACUCUUAAAGAAGUUGCAUUAAAAAUAGGUCUUUAAAAAUAAUUGAUAAGUUCCAAGUUGAAAAACAAAUAAGUUCUAAAAAGAGAUAGAUUAAAAAGAUAGAACCCUAAAAGGCACAAAUUAUACACUUAACUCCUAAAGAGGUACGGGUCCCUAACAAUAAUGAGAUCUCAAUUGAUUAUUUAUAUAUAAGAGAAAAAUGGGAUUGAAAUACCCUUAUUAUUGAUAGUAUGUUCUCUUUUCAAGUAGUCAUUGAUGUUAGAAUAAAACUCUUAAAAAUAUGACAUGAUGUAAUAAACAUGUGGAUUUUUAUUAUUUAUUUAAUAAAGUUCUAAUUUACUUUUAUCUAUUUUAUUUUCAUGCAUUAUAUCUUAUUAGCACUUUGGCUUGUAUUUUUUGCAUUGUACAUGACUUGGGUACAUUCAAAAGAUCCAAGUCAUGGGUUCAUUACAAAUAGAUGAUUAGGUCAUAAUUGGUUCGUGCGUUUAGGCAAAUUUGAGGGAUGACUAAUCUUGGUUAUCGAGAUAAUUUUCUUAUGGUGAGUACAUUAGUGUGUAAUAGUUAUUGGACAAGACAUACGCUGAGUCAUAACUUAAAACUAUUAAGUAGUCAUGACUUCACCAAACUACUUUAUUAUGUUGUCUCUUGACCUUGAGAAAAUAUUGAGCUUGUGCUAAAGUUAAUAGUGUAUUUGACCUACAGGUGAGAUUGUAAACUUAUCAUAUAUUUUUCUAUUGAUUAGGUCACUAUUGAUGGAAACCGAUAGUAAUAGGUAUUCUCAAUAGAGGAACUAUGAUAUUCCAUGAGACUGAAAUAGAAUGUCCUUUUAGGUGAUUCAAAGAAGGUAUGUUCAUAUAAACUAUGGUCAUCGUAGUUACUUAAAUAGAAUUUGGCAUUAGCUCUUUGAGAGCUAAGACAUGUUAGUUGAAUAGAUAAUAAGAGGAUUUGUAAGUCAAAGAUUGUAGAGGUUGUCUUGAAAGACUGAUAACUUUCACUUUAUUUGACUAGGAUACCAGUUCAUGGAGAGACUAAACGCAAUGGAUAGUAGGUUAUGGACCUAAACACAUGGUGUUUCAUUGUUAUUUACAUAAGAUAGUGGAGUUCAAUUGUUUUUUUAUAGUAGAAUGUUAAAUCAACUUUAGAAUUAGACUAUUAGGAAACCAAUACUCUUGUGGCUCUCAAUGGUCCUUACUUUGAGCUCAUAUGCCUUGUUGACACGAGUUAUGAGGAUCGGAUUGACUCUAGAUUCAUUUUUGUGUAUAAGAAUGUUUUGGUAAUUACGCAAGGUUGUAUAAGGGUAAGUGAAUAAGGUCUUUGGAUUGAGUUAAUUGAUUAAUUAAUAAGUCUUAUUGAGUUAAUUAAUCAAUUAAGACCCGUUUUGGGUUAGAUUAAGUGACCUAAGCCCUUAGUGGGCUCAAGUCACUUAAAUUCAGUGGAAACCUUAUAAAUACCCCCCUUAAGGUUACCAUAACUUUUUCUAAAGAGUUGUCUUUCACCUUUAAAGAGAAAGAGUUAUAGCCUCCAUUGUUUUUUCCAUCCCCAUUGAAAGUAUGUCAAGAUCAAGGUUCAAGUCAUUGAGUGAAAGACUUUGGGUUUAUGAGACUUUUGCAACUUUGUUUUUCCUUUUCACCAUGUGAAUUCGAUUUGGGAACAUUUGAAUUUAAGGUAUGUUUUUCGUUAGAAUUUUUUAAAUUCAUUUAUAGUUUAAAAAUGCAUUUUUUCUAUUUUGCAUAAAAUUUAGAAAAACCUAUGAUAAUCAAACAUGUUCCUAACUUGAUCUGAGCUUGGGAAACAAAGCAAUAUGGGUUUUUCCUAUCAAUUGACAUAAUAAGAAAUGAUAUAAAUUGUACCAUAGAGUGUGGAAGAAUUCCAACAUAGAAAAUAUUGAUCAAAAUGGAAAGAAGUUGUUUAGGCAAGGUUAGAGUUAUUAACAAAAUAAGAAAUAUUUGGAUUGGUAGUUUGAGCAUCUGAAUGCGUCAAGUUGAUCAAAUUCAACUAGGUAUUUGUAAGCAAAUAGAAUGAGAAAAUUAAGAUCACUAGAUAUAAAGUGAGAAUCAUAGCUUAAGGUUUCUUAUAAAGACUGGGUAUUAAUUAUGAAAAACCAUACUCUAUAAUUAAGAUAACUUUAUAUAAGUUUAUCCUAUUCAAGAGAAUCAAAACUACUAUUGAUUGGAUAUGUAGAUACUAAUUAUCUUUCAUAUUCCCAUAAGACUAAAUCUCAAACAUGAUAAAUGUUUAUUUGUAGAAAUACUAUAAUAUCAUGGUGAUUAGUAAACAAAGAAUGAUAACUUAGAGACCUUUCAUUUUAUCAUCUUGGUACAUGUUAUCCAAUAUUUGUCCUUUCUCAUCUAUGAUCCAUCUUUGUACACUUAGGAUAUGAUUUCGAGCUUUUAUUGAGUCUUUGUUGGUGGUGCACUAUCACUCACCUUAUCACUAUUUUUGGACUUCUUUUAGAGAUAUAUCUUAAAGAGAUUAUAUGAAUCCUUAGGGUGAUGUUUUUCUUAGUGGCUCUAGGUUUAGGUUUAGAUUUUUGUUUUUUCUAGUGAGUUCAUCUUUUGUUUAGGUUUUGUUGUUUUUAGUGUAUUAGGUUUGAUUUUGAUUGCAUGUUUUUAGGUUAGAUGAACUUUGAUUUGUUAUUUGAUUUUUAGUAGGUGACCGAUUUUUGAUAUUUUGAGUGCAUGAGUGUUUUUUAUGAUAUUUUGAGUGCAUAAUUGACCGAUUUCAUUGCAUGAUUAAUUUUUUAGUACACAAAUAAUUUUUAAUAAUUUCAUUGCUAUGAGAAUUAUCUUCAUAGCAAUUCAUGUUAAUAACAUGUUAUAAAACAAGUAUAAAUGAAAUGCAAACGAUAAAGAAGAAUAGAGAAAAUAUAUAAAUUCUCUUAGAAAUGUAUAAAAAGAAUAAAGUAAGAGAAUCAAAGAGAAAGUUGAAAAAGACUUUUCUUGUUGGAGUUGUCACUUACACAAGGUUUGAUAAGUCUUUUAUAAGUUUCACAAAUACCCUUCCAUUAUUCAUCUUUAAGAUGAGUUAAUGAAAGUUUAUAAUUGAACUUUAAUGUGAUCAUUUACUACUCAUUUACAACAAAAUUGUUUCUUUUUUUUUUUAAAAAAAAAAAAAACUUUUUUCACUACCCACUCGUUAUCCUCAAUUUUUUUCUUGUUAUCUAGGAUUUCUUUCAUGAUAUCUCUCUCCCUCUCUUUUGUCAUCAUCUUUGCCUUUACACUCCUUCUCCUUACUCUCUCUUUCUUCUCAUCACCUUUGUUUCUCCUACUCAUCAUUCUCUCAUCCUCUCUCUCUUUUUUCUCAUCACUUUUGUUUCUCCUACUCAUCACUCUCUCUCCUUCUCUCUCCUUCUCUCUCUUUCUCUCUCUCAUCUUCCCCCUUCCCCCUUCCCCCUCCAACACACAUGUUUUCUUAUCUAAAUAUAGUCUAAGGUCAUACCGAUCUUCGUUGCCCUAGCUAUGUGAAGUUUAAAUCACGGGGUUGUCACUAUCCUCCAUGACUAACACUGUUGUCGAUCUAUUCUCUCAUUUGGAGAAGGAAAAGGGAAAAUUUUUUUACCUUUUUUCUAGGUAAUCAAAUGAGAGUGGUGAGAUUGAUUUGGGGUUUGGUUCAAUUUGUUGCAUAAUGCAUCUCUUAAGGGCUUGUGAUUGUUUUGUGUGUAUGUGUGUGUGCUUUAUUUUUUUGUUUUGUUUUUUUUUUUCUGUGUUGAAAUUGUUCAACUUGGAAAACAAUUUCAUAUUGUUUUCUAAAAUCACCAAUUUGAGAAAAACUUUAAAAUUGCAAAGAAUAAUUACCAAAUAUGAUUUUAUGUGAUUUUAUUCUCAAGAACAAAAAAUAGGUUUAUUUAAAACACUUUCCCAAUAUGUUUGAAGGUUUCACCAAGGAUAAAAAUAUCGGUAAUCACGGAUAUAUCAGUACUUCGAUUUGACGGAUAUAUCAUAGAUAUAUUGGCGGAUAUUUUGGAAAAAAAAUAUCAAUAAACCUAAAAUUGAUCAAAAUUUAUAAAAAUAUAAGAAAAACUUUAUAAAAAUAUAAUUAGAAGUAUAUUGAUAUUUUAAAGUUGUUUUAUUAAAUAAUUUGAUAUAUCUAUAAUAUGAUUUAUCAUAUUUGAUAAUAAUAUCGUAUGCAUCAAUAAAAAUAUGAAUUUUUUAAGUGUACGUUUAUUAUUAAAUUAUAUCUAAUAUUAUGAUAUUUGAUUAUAAUAUGUCUAAUUUUAAAAUAUAUAUUAAUCUUAAAAUUGUGAUCCAUUUAAUUCAAUUGUAUUAAAUAAUAUAAAAAAAAUGAUAUAUGUACAAUUUUUUAAUAUUUAAUUAAUUAUUAAUGAUAUUAAAAACAUUAUGAAAAAAAUUAUAUAAUUUUUAUAUUUUUGAUAAUCAAUUAAAAGAAAAUUUUGCAUGUAAUUAUAAAAUAAUUAUAAUUAAUUUACUUUUUAAAAUAUUCUUUUAAUAUUUUCUUUAUAUAAUGAGUUUAACUAUAUAUAUAUGUUUAGUGCAUAUUAUUUAAUAAGGGCAAGUUGGCUCAGAUAAUAAGUGGAUUGAACCUCAAAUCUUUUCAUUUGGGGUUCGAAUCCCCCUCAACAGCAAAGGAAAGGUUUUUUUUUCUACAUUGACUUCAUUGUAGCGCGUUUGCUGUUGACCAUGUGACGCCCACAUAUCGCGAUAAUAGUUCUCAAUUACUUUUAAUAAUAAAAUUUUAUUUGAAACUCAGUUAUAUAAAAUAGUUUUUUUUAAAAUUUUUCAUGAAGAUACAAUUUACUUAUUUAUAAUAUAAAAAUUUGUAAAGUGUUUUCCAUAUUUUUAAUUAUUGAUUCAAAUAUUUUAUAAGAAAAACCAAAAAACACCACAAAUCUAUUUUCAAAAACUAAUUUCUAUCAAAAAUCAUCAAAUAUAUUUCCAAAUUCAAACAAUAUAUAUAUAUAUAUAUAUUAUUAAGAAUAAAAUAACAAUCUCCAAUCAAGCCCAAGGCAUUCCUAGACAUUCAACAAAGGGUAGACGGUGGAUGAAUAAAAUCCUCUACCUACUUUUAAAAUUUUGAAAAAAAAAAAAAAGUAUGAAGUAUCACAUAUGACAUAUGUUUGUCAUUUUCUUCACUAUUUUCAAAUUUUUAUAUUUGGCAUUAGACUUUUCCAAUGUGAAAGUAGAGUAUGGUGCCACAACUAUGUGAGCGCUCCUCAUCAUAUAUUUUCGGAUUUUCCGGAAGCAUGUGCAAAAUAGAAGAUCUUUUCCCCCAAAUGUACGGCCAAUAACGUUGACCCAAAUUUAAAGGAUUAGACUUAGAAAAAUUUAAAAAUUGGGGCAGUGUGGAAAUUGACCGCACCCCGCUUUUAAUUCACACCUUCCAAACCCCACACUUUCGACACUCACUUUAAUUCCAAUCCGGCGUUGCAGUAGACAUAAUUUCAUGGGUAAAAGAGUAGUUGAAAAAUUCAAUUUUUUAUCUAUUUUUAUUUAAUUAAAAUAUUUUUAUUCUUUUCUUAUAAAAUAUAUAAAAAAAUAAAUUAUUUUAUAAAAAAAUAUAAAUAUAAAAAUAAUUUUAUCUCUUUUAACUAAUUAAUUCUAUCUUUAUCUACCUUUUUGAAACUCGUCAAUCCUUACCGACAUUAUUAUUACUAAAUUAAAAAGGUGAUGCUUUAUUUUACUAAUUAUUAUGAAAUAAAAUAAAAGCGGAAUUCAUCAUGCAUGUGGUUGGUAAUGGGCCUUGUCGUUUACCUACUUUCAUUUGGAAGAAAAAAACAAAAAAAACGUCCAAGUGGGGGUCAAAGUUUCCACGUUUCGAGAACUUGCUGAGUUGCUUCCUUUGUAAAAAUUUACUCACACACGUUGUCUUCACUCCUUUCCACGUGCCCACUUUUUUAUUCGUUUGCUUUCCGUGCUUUGGACAAAGACGUACGAGUCUUCCAAAAAAUAUUUUAGAUUUAAGAUGGGAUUUGGCUCAAGAAUGGAAUUCAUUCUAGUAAAUUUUGAAAUUUAGUUCUUUCAUACAUUCGAUGAUUGAGAGAGAAAGGGUUUUAUAGAAAAAUAUUUGGUUAUCAAUUAUUUUCAAAUUUGAAAUUUGUCUUUUAAUGUGUCGUGAUCUCCGAACUUACCAUAUAAAAAGGCGUUUAUAUUUAUAUAGUGUUAAAACGAGUUGAAAGGAUGUCUUAUAUUUUAAAAUUGAAUUCAUAUUUAUAUAAUAUAAAAAAAAAAUUAUGUGAAAUUUAUAGUGGUUGAGAAUUUAAUUUGCCUAACUAGGUCGUCAUAGUGAUGCAGCCGCGGCCACGGCCACUAUUUCUCGGUUUUACAUUGUCAGUUCAUGAAGGGAGGUACAACUUACAAGUGGCCCUACGCCUGCGCAUGAAUUUAAGGAAUCGGAGGAAAAUGGUCCACCUUUUCAAGAUCCAUUCAGUCAUUGUAGAUGAGAAUGGUGGUUUUGUCGACGUGUUCAAAUCGGGCAGUCGUCAAGGACUUUUGAAACCAGACAAGGAGUGAUGGAAGAGUGAAGAAGGAAAUUUGAAAGUAUGGAGUAUGAAUUUAAUAUUUUAUAUUGAAGAUAAUGAUACAUGAAUCACAAACAGUAGCUGAAACAUGGAAAAAAAAAACAGUCUUAUUCUCUCUGAAAAAUCACAUCAAAAUGAAUCACGCUAGCUAGCAAGCCCUGUUUUUCUUUUAUCGUAGAAUCAUCUAAUACAACAAUGCAGCUGCAACGGACAAGAGGGUAGCAGAUAAACCGGCGACGGAGAAAGAGGGAGCAGAGCCUGGUGAAGGAGGGGUGGUAGAACCUGAAGGGGAUUGUGAUGGACCACCUGAGGGGGACGGUGAUGUGGGAGUGGUGGAGCUGGAGGGUGGGGUGGUUGGACUUGUGGAAGAGUUGGUAGUGACGUUAAUGGCCAACUUCUGGCCGAGGGAGCAGUGGCUACCGACGGUGCAGAUGAAAUAGUGUUCACCGGCGGUGUCAAGAUCGAUAUCUGCAGGGCCUUCGGUUUCAUGGGAGAUGGGGUUUGUGCCAUUGCAGGCAGUGAACGCCGCCUUUGUAACUUCGGCAACAUCAUGUGCUCCGGUUGUGAAAUUGAAUUCUGCAAAACAUACAAACAGAGAAUAUGUCAGCCGGAGAAAUUUCUUAAUCGCUACAGCGUUUGAAGGGUUAUCCAGCUUCCAAGUUAGAUUUUUCCGUCAACUUACUCAGACUGUCUCCCACCACGAAGGUCUUGUUCGCAGCCCAGUUCUGGUAAGUAACGGCACCGCCCGAAGGAACAGUCCAACCCAAAGAGUCUCCGACGAUGAACUCAGUCUCAGCUCUGGCAGCAGAGACGUUGACGGCCAGCUUCUGACCCAAGCUACAGUGGGUGCCCACGGUGCAGAUGAAAUAAUGCUCACCGGAAGUAUCAAGAGUGAAGUUUGCAGGACCUGUGGUUUUAUGGGAGAUGGGAUUCGUGGAAUUGCAGGCAUCGAAGGCAGUCUUGGUAACCUUCGCCACAUCAUGUGCCCCAGUAGUAAAUUCAAAUUCUACAACCCAAAACACAAAACAAAACAAAACAAAACAAAUCAAAUCAAUACAAUCCACCACUUCUUUUAUAUAAGAAAGAGAAAAGCAUAAAUGAGUUUGUUUGUGUACCGAGAACGUCUCCGACAAGGAAUGUCUCGCCGGCGGCCCAGUUCUGGUAAGCGACAGAACCGUUUGAAGGGACUGUCCACUUCAGGUCAUCACCCACCUCGUGUGUCUCGGCCUUCGAGCUCUGUACCAGAGCUGCCACCACCAUCACUGCAAAAACAACAGUACUGAAUCUUCUCGCCAUUGUUGCCUUGUGUUCUCUGAAAUCUCAGGUCGCCCCCUCUCUCGGAACUGUCUCUGUUUUUGGCCGAGGAAGAAGAGCUCAAGAUUGAUGGAAAAAUGGACCUGUCUCCAAUCCAUAUAAAUAGCGCCAAGGCUGGCCCGAGUCUUUGUAGAUCUGGCCGUUGGAUGGAGA